rnacentral:rRNA from 1 species
UUCGGUGGCUAUUGCGUAAAGGUACCACCCGAUCCCAUUCCGAACUCGGCCGUGAAACUUUACUGCGCCAAUGGUACUUCAGCUUAAGCUGCGGAAGAGUAGGUCACUGCCGAAC